GAUGAACGCUGGCGGCGUGCCUAAUACAUGCAAGUCGAGCGAACAGAUAAGGAGCUUGCUCCUUUGACGUUAGCGGCGGACGGGUGAGUAACACGUGGGUAACCUACCUAUAAGACUGGAAUAACUCCGGGAAACCGGGGCUAAUGCCGGAUAACAUUUAGAACCGCAUGGUUCUAAAGUGAAAGAUGGUUUUACUAUCACUUAUAGAUGGACCCGCGCCGUAUUAGCUAGUUGGUAAGGUAACGGCUUACCAAGGCAACGAUACGUAGCCGACCUGAGAGGGUGAUCGGCCACACUGGAACUGAGACACGGUCCAGACUCCUACGGGAGGCAGCAGUAGGGAAUCUUCCGCAAUGGGCGAAAGCCUGACGGAGCAACGCCGCGUGAGUGAUGAAGGUCUUCGGAUCGUAAAACUCUGUUAUUAGGGAAGAACAAAUGUGUAAGUAACUGUGCACGUCUUGACGGUACCUAAUCAGGAAGCCACGGCUAACUACGUG
rnacentral:rRNA from 1 species